AACAAAAUAAAACCCUGAAUUGGUCUUAAUUCUGCAUUCAUCACAUCAAAUACAUCCUAAGUUUACUCGUUUAUGUCUACUUCUCAUUCUUCACAUACCAUGUUCCUUCGAUUCGAUCCCCUUCUCUUUUCUUCUAUCUUCUCUCCCUCUAUUUUCAUUGUGCGACCAAGUUCGUAUUUCCAAUCAUUAACUUCUAAACGUUUUCGGGUAAACGCUUAGCCAUAUUAUAUAUUCAAUCUUGCGUGUGUGGCGAUAAUGACGACAUAUCCCCCAUUAUUUUUUUCAAACGUAAAGGGGAUUUGAAGACCCAUUGUUCGCUUUCCCAUUCUCCAACCAUCGCAAACCCACCACCGCCCAAAAGGUGAAUCCUUUCUUCAUCGGAUACCCCGAAUUUUGUUCCGGUUCUCCGUUAUGGAUAUGCGAGGAGAUGGGAUUUUCCCGGAUGAGGUUGUCAUUCAGAUUCUUGCAAGGUUGCCUGUGAAGUCCCUUUUCAGGUUCAAAACCGUGUGCAAACUGUGGAAUAGGUUGUCUUUGGAUAAGUAUUUUGUUCAACUCUACAAUGAGGUUUCUAGGAAGAACCCCAUGAUUCUGGUCGAGGUUUCUGAUUCGUAUGGGUCCAAAUCUAGCUUAAUAUGUGUUGAUAAUUUAAGGGGCGUGUCUGAAUUUUCACUGAGUUUCUUGAAUGAUAGAGUUAAGGUUCGAGCAUCUUGUAAUGGCUUGCUGUGUUGCUCUAGUAUUCCUGAUAAGGGUGUCUUCUAUGUCUGCAAUCCGGUCACUCGCGAGUACCGGUUGCUUCCCAAGAGUAGGGAAAGGCCUGUGACUCGGUUUUAUCCGGAUGGUGAGGCUACCUUGGUUGGCUUGGCCUGUGAUUCUUCUUAUCAGAAGUUCAAUGUUGUUCUGGCGGGUUACCAUCGCACUUUUGGUCAUAGGCCAGAUGGGAGUUUCAUAUGUUUGGUGUUUAAUUCUGAGUUGAACAAGUGGAGAAAGUUUGUCUCAUUACAAGAUGACCAUUUCACUCACAUGAAUAAGAACCAGGUUGUUUUUAUCAAUAAUGCUCUGCACUGGUUGACAGUUAGCUCUACUUAUAUACUUGUGCUUGAUUUAAGUUGUGACGUUUGGAGGAAGAUGCAACUACCUUAUGACUUGAUUUAUGGAAAUGGUUAUAGGAUUUAUCUCUUGGACUUUGAUGGCUGCUUGUCUGUUAUUAAAAUUUCAGAAGCAUGGAUGAAUAUAUGGGUGCUAAAAGAUUACUGGAAAGAUGAAUGGUGUAUGGUGGAUAAGGUGAGUCUGAGGUGUAUCAGAGGAAUGGUGCCAGGCAUUUUCCCGAUCAGUCAGACAGGUGAAUAUAUUUUUUUGGCAACUCAUAAGCAGAUUUUGGUGUAUCAUUGCAAGAGUCAAGUUUGGAAAGAAAUGUACUCUGUGAAGUAUAGCUCUACACUCCCAUUAUGGUUUUCUGCUCAUGCAUAUCGCAGCACAAUGUUCUCAUGCAACUGAGUCAGGGUGACUUCAUCAAAUAACUUUUGUACGUACAUUUUUAGUUACAAGUGUUUUAUAUUCAUUUAAGCCAAUGUUAUUUGCUUUAGAUAUCAUUUGUUUCUGGUAGUCAUGCUAAAACUAUGGUGUUGGCUUUGCCAUGGAAGUUCCAUUAUAUUGUUCCACUGCUGUCUCUUGUAACCGAGUUGUGGCUUCAAUAAAUAGCCUUUGUACAUAGAUUUGUGGUUGCGUCUGAUACCUAUUUAGCCAAUUAUUGUUUGCUGAAGAUAUUGUAUUUUCUGAUGCAUUUUAUUUUAAAAUUAUUUCAUUGACUUUGCCAUGAAGGUCCUAUCACAAAUAUUUUAGCAUCAUCUAUUGGAUUUAUCUGUUCACUCGCACAAAACAAAGUAUGAAACAGGUACCAUAUUGUUAGAGAUUUUAUCAUUCAGGUACCAUAUUGUUAGAUAUAAUCCUAUUAAUUUGGGUUCUCUUUCUCCCUUAUCAAGUAGGAUAAUUCUUAGUUAUGAUGCUCUUAACGAUGGAUCUUUGUGGCCUUUUAUAGGACAGACCUAUUUGGAAUAUUACCAAGACAAGUUAUUUUUCAGAAAAGAAAAAAACUCACGUUUGUCAAAACUAUUGAGUGGGAUAAUUUCUGAUCAGUAACACUGUAAAAAAAAUUAAACUAGGAGUGCAUGUAAAUUAUAUGUAGUGUAUACCCUGUUCACUAAAUAGCCAGUUACGUAUUUAUUCUAUUUUAUGUUAUCUAAUUUUCUUUUCAAGCUUAAACAGUCCAACUUUAGCAUGUCUGGUUUCAGGAACCUAUAACUAAAUACUGGGUUUGUUAUAUUUAUUUGCAAUAUUCACAUGCAACUUCGUAAAUUACAUACUAUUUUUCUUUUCUCUUGGUAUGAAACAACAUGAGUUGAAUUUAUAGUUAGCGCUUGGUAGAUAUCCAGACCCUUCUAUUUACGUAGGCGAAUUUAGCAUUCUUGCUAUUUAAAAACACGUUUGCUUGUGAAUAAAACAAUUAAACACUAUAAUCAGUGAGUCAGCACUCAGCAGCAGUUUAUCAUCACUGUGCAAAUUCAUGCUCAUUGAUAACACUUGCUGGUUGUUACAUGAAAUGACAAUUUUUUUCACAUGUAGUAUCUGUACUUCUUUAGUCGAAACUAUCACUAUUUUGUGACAAGCACGAAACACUUUUAGUAGCCAUUCUUCUGAUUGUGCAGUUUUUUAUCUGAUAAUGUCAUAUAAAGCCUAUGUAAAUAUAUUGCUCCAGUAAUGCAAAGCACUAGUUGUCUAGGACCUGCAGAUUUCACUUUGUUCUGUUUUGGAAAUUUAAUAAUGCAUAUUAUGAAAUGCUGCAAGGCAACAACAUGGAUCUCAUGUAGCGGUUUCAUGCAACAAAACAUUUCUUUGAGACUAUUUGGUGGACAGAAUAAAAGUUUGUUGGAUAGCCUGUGUGAGCAACACAGUUGAAUCACUUCCCCCUUGCAGAAUGAAGACGGUUUGAUCUUUCACAUAGGUAGGAUUCACAUGUGAUUAUGUGACCUAAAGAAAAAUAAAAUUAGAAUUGAUCUCAUGGUUAUUUUGUGCAUGUCAAUAUAGUAGUCAGUAGAGAAAAAUAUCAGUUUUGGUCUGAAUUGGUUAAAUGAAGAUACGUUUUUUCAUGUUCUUGUUUCAUUUGACUAUGACUGUCCUAUUUAGGAUGUUUUUGCUAUAUAUUUCAAACUCCAACUUUCUCUA